rnacentral:ncRNA from 1 species
UAGUCUGCCAUACGCAGGAAGACCCGCUGAACUGAAGCAUCUCAUUAAGCGGAGGAAAAGAAACUAACUAGGAUUCCCUUAGUAAAGGCGAUCGAAAAGGGAACAGCCCAACGUCUUAAUCCCGCAAGGGAAAUGUAGUCGGUUCACCUAUUGCACUGGUCUAAGUCAGAUGGAAUGCUGCGCGAUUCAGAGUAAAAGCCUCGUAUGACCAACCGCAAGCUUACGAUGGACCGGGGAGAGUCGGAUACUUUGAGAGUAGUGUCUUAAGGGGGUGGUAUGUCCCAUCCAAGGCUAAAUAACGUGAGGAGACCGAUAGAUUACAAGUAGUGUGAACGAAAGAUGAAAAGAACUCUAAAACAGAGGGUGAAAAGUUCCUGAACUUGCUUAGGGUUAAGGCUAUUUAUAGUACCCGUCUUGAAACACGGAUUAGGGAGUUUAUCUGUAGUGCGAGUCUUUGCACGUUAACUGUAAAGGCGUAGAGAAAGCAACUGGCGUUUGCAUGGCUACUGAGCAUUACUGAUAGGACCCGAAAGGUGGUGAACUUU